AGCCCCGUGGUGUAGCGGCCAAUCAUAGCGGCCUUUGGAGCCGUUGACGGCGGUUCGAAUCCGCCCGGGGCUA
rnacentral:tRNA from 1 species